AGUGAACGCUGGCGGUAGGCCUAACACGUGCAAGUCGAACGGCAGCACAGUAAGAGCUUGCUCUUACGGGUGGCGAGUGGCGGACGGGUGAGGAAUACAUCGGAAUCUACUUUUUCGUGGGGGAUAACGUAGGGAAACUUACGCUAAUACCGCAUACGACCUACGGGUGAAAGCAGGGGAUCUUCGGACCUUGCGCGAUUGAAUGAGCCGAUGUCGGAUUAGCUAGUUGGCGGGGUAAAGGCCCACCAAGGCGACGAUCCGUAGCUGGUCUGAGAGGAUGAUCAGCCACACUGGAACUGAGACACGGUCCAGACUCCUACGGGAGGCAGCAGUGGGGAAUAUUGGACAAUGGGCGCAAGCCUGAUCCAGCCAUACCGCGUGGGUGAAGAAGGCCUUCGGGUUGUAAAGCCCUUUUGUUGGGAAAGAAAAGCAGCAGGUUAAUACCCCGCUGUUCUGACGGUACCCAAAGAAUAAGUACCGGCUAACUUCGUG
rnacentral:rRNA from 1 species